CUGAAAAAUCGCAAAACGCACGAACCGCGUUCUGGUACUCGGACUGUCCUGUUAAUUGUGCUAGCAGUACCUGCGAAAAACAAGGAAAAGAAGAAAAGAUUAGACUUCUAUUGUUUAUUUCACCGCAUCAGAUUUGAGGAUAUUCUAACAAAUAAGUUACACUGGAGAACUAACAUUAUAUAUGUAUAUUAUUGAAAUAAGAAAUAAAUUUUCUCACCUG